UACAGAGGGUGCGAGCGUUAAUCAGAUUUACUGGGCGUAAAGCGUACGUAGGCGGCUUUUUAAGUCGGAUGUGAAAUCCCUGAGCUUAACUUAGGAAUUGCAUUCGAUACUGGGAAGCUAGAGUAUGGGAGAGGAUGGUAGAAUUCCAGGUGUAGCGGUGAAAUGCGUAGAUAUGCGGAGGAAUACCGAUGGCGAAGGCAGCCCCCUGGGUCAAGAUUGACGCUCAUGCACGAAAGCGUGGGGAGCAAACAGG
rnacentral:rRNA from 1 species